CCACUUGGAAACAGGUGCUAAUACCGGAUAAGAAAGCAGAUCGCAUGAUCUAAGCUUUUAAAAGGCGGCGUAAGCUGUCGCUAUGGGAGUGGCCCGCGGUGCAUUAGCUAGUUGGUAAGGUAAAGGCUUACCAAGGCGAUGAUGCAUAGCCGAGUUGAGAGACUGAUCGGCCACAUUGGGACUGAGACACGGCCCAAACUCCUACGGGAGGCAGCAGCG
rnacentral:rRNA from 1 species